CCAACAGGGAUUGCCCCAGUAACGGCGAGUGAAGCGGCAACAGCUCAAAUUUGAAAUCUGGCCCCCUCGGGGCCCGAGUUGUAAUUUGCAGAGGGAGCUUUUGGCGUCGGUCGUGGUCUAAGUUCCUUGGAACAGGACGUCACAGAGGGUGAGAAUCCCGUACGUGGCCGCCGGCCUUCGCCUUGUAAAGCCCCUUCGACGAGUCGAGUUGUUUGGGAAUGCAGCUCUAAAUGGGAGGUAAAUUCCUUCUAAAGCUAAAUACCCGCCAGAGACCGAUAGCGCACAAGUAGAGUGAUCGAAAGAUGAAAAGCACUUUGGAAAGAGAGUGAAAAAGCACGUGAAAUUGUUGAAAGGGAAGCGCUUGCGGCUAGACGUGCCCGCGGUUGAUCAUCCAGGCUCCGGCCUGGUGCACUCCUCCGCGGGCAGGCCAGCAUCAGUUCGGGCGGUCGGAUAAAGGCCUCUGUCACGUACCACCCCUCGGGGUGGCCUUAUAGGGGAGGCGCAACACGGCCAGCCCGGACUGAGGUUCCGCGCAUCUGCUAGGAUGCUGGCGUAAUAGCAGCAAGCGGCCCGUCUUGAAACACGGACCAAGGAGUCUAACAUCUAUGCGAGUGUUUGGGUGUCAAGCCCGAGCGCGCAAUGAAAGUGAACGGAGGUGGGAACCCUCACGGGUGCACCAUCGACCGAUCCUGAUGUCUUCGGAUGGAUUUGAGUAAGAGCAUAGCUGUUGGGACCCGAAAGAUGGUGAACUAUGCCUGAAUAGGGUGAAGCCAGAGGAAACUCUGGUGGAGGCUCGCAGCGGUUCUGACGUGCAAAUCGAUCGUCAAAUUUGGGCAUA
rnacentral:rRNA from 1 species